rnacentral:rRNA from 1 species
UACGGAGGGUGCGAGCGUUGUCCGGAAUCAUUGGGCGUAAAGGGCGCGUAGGUGGCCCGGUCAGUUCGUGGUGAAAGCGCGGGGCUCAACUCCGCGUCGGCCAUGAAUACUGCUGGGCUUGAGCACUGUAGAGGCUCAUGGAAUUCCGGGUGUAGCGGUGGAAUGCGUAGAGAUCCGGAAGAACACCGGUGGCGAAGGCGGUGAGCUGGGCAGUAGCUGACACUGAGGCGCGACAGCGUGGGGAGCAAACAGG